CGACUGCCGACGAUCCGAGGGCAGCAUCCUCCCCUAAGCCUCAGAGGAGCUGAUCAAAGCGAUGCGGGAGGGACGCUCCCUUCCAAAGCGGGGAGGGUGACAGCAGCGACAGCUCUCUCAGACAUCCCUCCUCCCCCCGGCAUCUGUAGCGGGGCGGGGGGAUUCUCCCAGCAGCCUUCCCGAGCACACGCGGGUGGAGAGGACAGGUCAACCGCGCACCACGAUGGCCAGUAAUGCCAGCCAUGACUCGCAGGGACGGGGACAAGAGGUAGUUCAGUCCUCUCAGUGAGAUCAGCCCGGAGCUCUGCCUGUUGAGGACUGACCUUCGGAGGCACUGCAUGAUGAAUGUGGAUGUGCUGAGCCCUCUGCUCCAUGCUGAGCCGUGACACCAAGCUCGGACCUGCAGCUGGACUUACCCCAUGGCUCUGCUCCCAGGAGGAAAUGCUGUCUCUUCUCUGUGAUCAUCCUUCAACUCCGAGAGUCUUCCAUUGGAAAACUGACGAGGAUCAAAUGGGUUGAGAGCAACGGGCCCUCCUUUUCUGGCAGAGGAUUCUUUGUUAUAUAUUUAAGUGCCAGGGCGUGAAACUGUAAAUCCCUCCUUGCUACACUCCUGUUUCCUGCAAACCACUCUCCAAGCCAGCCAGAUAGAGGAUUGGCCAUAACUGGAGUCCUGAAUGGCUGCGUUAUUGAUCCCACGGAGGAACAGAGGGAUGAGGACUCGCCUGGGCUGCCUGUCUCACAAAUCAGACUCAUAUAAUGAUUUCACAGCUAUUCUUCCGGACAAGCCCAACCGGGCUUUGAAAAGACUGUCAACAGAAGAAGCAACGAGAUGGGCAGACUCUUUUGAUGUCCUUUUGUCCCAUAAAUGUAAGUAGAGAUCAACUUGU